rnacentral:rRNA from 1 species
UGCGUAGGCGGAACGAUAAGUCAGUGGUGAAAACCUAUAGCUUAACUAUAGAACGGCCAUUGAUACUAUUGUUCUUGAGUGUAUUGGAUGUGAAUGGAAUGUGUCGUGUAGCGGUGAAAUGCUUAGAUAUGACACAGAACACCCAUUGCGAAGGCAGUUCACAACACUACAACUGACGCUGAGGCACGAAAGCGUGGGGAUCAAACAGGAUUAGAUACCCUGGUAGUCCACGCCGUAAACGUUGAUUACUAGAUGUGUGCGCGUUAGCGUACGUGUCAAAGCGAAAGCGUUAAGUAAUCCACCUGGGGAGUACGACCGCAAGGUUGAA